GAGUUUGAUCAUGGCUCAGGAUGAACGCUAGCGGCAGGCUUAACACAUGCAAGUCGAGGGGUAUAGUUCUUCGGAAUUAGAGACCGGCGCACGGGUGCGUAACGCGUAUGCAAUCUACCUUUCACAGAAGGAUAGCCCAGAGAAAUUUGGAUUAGUACCUCGUAGUAUAUCGACUCCGCAUGGAGAUGUUAUUAAAGUCACAACGGUGAAAGAUGAGCAUGCGUCCCAUUAUCUAGGUGGUAAGGUAACGGCUUACCAAGGAUACUAUGGGUAGGGGUCCUGAGAGGGAGAUCCCCCACACUGGUACUGAGACACGGACCAGACUCCUACGGGAGGCAGCAGUGAGGAAUAUUGGACAAUGGGCGCAAGCCUGAUCCAGCCAUGCCGCGUGCAAGAUGACGGCCCUAUGGAUUGUAAACUGCUUUUGCACAGGAAGAAACAACGCUACGUGUAACGUCUUGACGGCACUGUGAGAAUAAAGAUCGGCUAACUCCGUGCCAGCAGCCGCGGUAAUACAGAGGAUCCAAGCGUUAUCCGGAAUCAUUGGGUUUAAAGGGUCCGUACGCGGUUUAAUAACUCAGUGGAGAGAGCCCAUCGCUCAACGGUGGAACGGCCAUUGAUACUGCUAG
rnacentral:rRNA from 1 species